rnacentral:ribozyme from 1 species
UUUUUUUUUUUUUUUUUUUUUUUUUUUUUUCGUCAAGCGCGCGCAA